UGUUACUGGAUACUGGUCCUCUGUCAGUGGGCUUGUUACUGAAUACUGGUCCUCUGUCAGUCAGGUUGUUACUGGAUACUGGUCCUCUGUCAGUGGGGUUGUUACUGGAUACUGGUCCUCUGUCAGUGGGGUUAUUACUGGAUACUGGUCCUCUGUCAGUCAGGUUGUUAUUGAUACUGGUCCUCUGUCAGUCGGGUUGUUACUGGAUACUGGUCCUCUGUCAGUGGGGUUAUUACUGGAUACUGGUCCUCUGUCAGUCAGGUUGUUAUUGAUACUGGUCCUCUGUCAGUCGGGUUGUUACUGGAUACUGGUCCUCUGUCAGUGGGGUUAUUACUGGAUACUGGUCCUCUGUCAGUCAGGUUGUUACUGGAUACUGGUCCUCUGUCAGUCGGGUUGUUAUUGAUACUGGUCCUCUGUCAGUGGGGUUGUGACUGGAUACUGGUCCUCUGUCAGGGGGGUUGUGACUGGAUACUGGUCCUCUGUCAGGGGGGUUGUUACUGGAUACUGGUCCUCUGUCAGGGGGGUUGUUACUGGAUACUGGUCCUCUGUCAGGGGGGUUGUUACUGGAUACUGGUCCUCUG